AUGUCUUCUUGAUAUUUUAUAAGGGGUCUGACCUGCUCGCUGAGAUUUGAAGGGCUGCAGUAUUUUAACUGUACAAAGGUAGCAUAAUCAUUAGUCUUUUAAUUGAGGACUGGUAUGAAGGGUUAAACAAAACAGUAUUGUUUUAAGGAUAUAAAAUGAAUUUUUCUUUUGCGUUAAAAGACGUAAAUUAAGAUAAGGGACAAGAAGACCCUUAUAAGCUUUAUGAGCAUAAUUAUUAGAAUUUAUAAUAUGAGAUUGAAUUAAUUGUGUAUAUUUUGCUGGGGCGGCGGAUAUAAAUUAUCUAUAUUAAUUAUAAAUAUUAGCUUAAAUUUUGUUAUUAGCUUGUAUGAAGGCUAAAAGAAGUUACUGAAGGGAUAACAGCGUAAUGUUUUUUGAGAGCUCUCAUUGACAGAGAUGUUUGCGA
rnacentral:rRNA from 1 species